ensembl:lncRNA LINC01010 long intergenic non-protein coding RNA 1010
CAAAGUGCUGGGAUUACAUGCGUGAGCUACUGCGCCCAGCCUGACGUGCCUAUCAUUUUAUCCGAAAAGUGGAUGGAGUUCCAGUGGCAAAGGAAUGAACAGUGGAGACAAGAGAGUUAAAUAGGGUUUGACUCAUUAAAGUCUCCGUAUGCUGGGUUUCAAUUUUAUUCUGAGGCAAGGGCAGGGCAUCCGAGGAGUUUAAGCUCCUUAAACACAGGGAAUUGAAUGUGCUUGUGUUUUGGGAAGAUCACCCUAGCAGGAUUAGAAAGGAAGAAUCAAGCCGCUGUCGCUAUAAUACUGUCAAAACCUAAUGAGUGUCUAACAUAAGACAGCCACCAUGAAGAAGGGUGAACCUGCCUUCUAAUUAGUCAGGAAGAGAUUUCUUUCUCUUUCCUCUCUUUGUUGGUGUAAAGAGAAGAAAGGUGUAAAGUACAGAUGGGUUUCAGGCUUGCACCUGAGAAGCUGGUGGUGAUGCCUACUGAGACGAGAAUGCUAGGGGAUCAGGUCUACUUAAUGUUCCUUCCUAAUCACAGACAAAACCUAAAGUGUGUGGACCCCAACCACUCCUACAACCAUAUGCUGCAGCUAUUCAAGCCUUUGUCCUAUGUCUGGAGACUUCUUGGAAGCUGGAGCACACAAAUAGCUACAGCAAACUUGAGGAAUGGGCAUGAAUAGACUGGCUUCGGGGAACCUGCCAGCUUGGCCGUGUGGCCAAGGUAAUAGGCAAGCCAAGGCAGAGCUAGAGCUCAGAGCUGGAGGGGAAAUUAAAGCAGCAAAUGUAGAAACAUUAAGCCUGAAGAGGCGACGACGUUGAAUUCUAAAAUGCAGGCCAAAGCUCAGACUGCAAGCUGUCUGGCUGCUCCGGGUGUGCCCAGAAGUCAAAGUCCAGCAGGGGCAAAGGUGGAGGUGUGGUCCUGCACGUGGGGUGUUGGGGGGAUGUGGAAGAGGAGGUGCUUUAAGAUCCAGAGAUUCCAGCUGCCCUGGUGCACCCUUGGAAGAAUAAAAGGCUAGGAACUGGACAAGUCAGGCUCGAGUCCAAGCUGCCUGAGGAAUCGGGGAAAGAAUGGAGCUCAGAGUGGGAGGUCAGGGCAGUAUUUAAAAAUCCAGGAUAGCAGCAAAGCUGGCGGUGGCCCCUGACUCUGGUAAGGGCAGCCUGCAGCACCAUGCCAAGGGGGGCCUGACUGAUCAUGCCCUGCAUUUGCAAACAAGGAUUAGUAGGGUAUGAGUAGGAUUCUGCUGGUGCCUGGGAAGGCAGUGCCAUCUACAACUUUACAAAGUUUUAACAAAGGCCUGAAGGACACAACCUUCCCCAAAGUCCUGACGUCGCUGUUUGCUGGCAACAAAUAGAGUCAAAAGAAGAGAGGCACAGAAUGUGCCAGGGGUGUGCUGCGUACAGCCCCGAUGACCACAAGGCCUUCUUGGGUCAAGUUCUGCCAUCUCUGGUUAAGAUGGGCUCACCCUCUAGGACCCUGAUUGAGUCCUCGGACCACCAAGAGUGCCCCACCAAGAGCCUCCCUCUUCUGGUGACUCGUGCCUGCUUCCCGUGGAGAGCUCCAGAAGGGAGGAAACUGUGAGGAGGUGGAGAACGUGGCAGGGAUCCUAACUUUCUUACUGAAGGAAGUUCUUCACAAGUACCCAUCUGCCUUCAGGGAAGAAAACAUAACUCAUUUUGGUCUUUCAAAUUCAGUUCUCAAAACCAAAUCCUGUUGUCAGCAAUCUGUGUCCCAACGCCUUCUUCAGCAACAGCAUUUUCCCUGUGGAAUUAGUUUCCAAUGUUCUUUCUUAAAUAAACCACUGAAGAUUAAAAGGAAUCCAGAUACCCACC